AGACUGAGCAGUGGAAGGUGAAGGAACAUUAGGCUAAUCUUAUGCUGACUAAUCUACUUGCUCAUCAGGAUCAACAUGCUGACAUAAGUGAUCUGGCUGAGACCAUCUAGAUGGAGCACCUCUGCAUCCAUUGCCUCGCAUCCUGGAGGGAAGAGAGAGACAGAGAGAGCCAAGCAAAGGAGAGAUAGGGAAGGAGAGUUAGAUCGAGACCCGCAAAUGGACGCUUCGAGCAUGGGACUGAACCUCUAACAAUGAUUGCAACAAGGUGGCGAACAGCAGAUGGUCUUUUGGGCUCCCAGUCGGUGACGCUUC
rnacentral:misc_RNA from 1 species